rnacentral:rRNA from 1 species
CCUACGGGAGGCAGCAGUGGGGAAUAUUGCACAAUGGGGGAAACCCUGAUGCAGCGAUGCCGCGUGGAGGAAGAAGGCUUUCGGGUUGUAAACUCCUUUUAUCAGGGACGAUAAUGACGGUACCUGAAGAAAAAUCUCCGGCGAAUUACGUGGCAGCAGCAGCGGUAAUACGUAGGGGGCGGGAGUUGUCCGGAAUUACUGGGUGUAAUGGGAGCGUAGGCGGGACGGCAAGUCAGAUGUGAAAACUUAGGGCUCAACUUUCAGACUGCAUUUGAAACUGCUGUUCUUGAGUGAAGUAGAGGUAGGCGGAAUUCCUAGUGUAGCGGUGAAAUGCGUAGAUAUUAGGAGGAACACCGGUGGCGAAGGCAGCUUACUGGGCUUUUACUGACGCUGAGGCUCGAAAGCGUGGGGAGCAAACAGGAUUAGAUACCCGGGUAGUC